GGCUUUCCAAUGUGAUCUAAGAGGGCACCCACGCGAGCCAGCCCAAGUGUGUCACGGACCCACAUGAGGUAAGUCCCUCCUCCCAACCCUAAUUCCUCUCUCACCUGUUGGUACUCCUGCCCACGUCUUCUUUAUGCGGUUCCCGAGAGAGCGAUCUCAAGUCCUGGGUCCAUCUCGAACCCGGAACCAUGCUACCAGGUCAACCCGACCCGGAGGGCAAGAUCGAGGCACUUAACCAGCUUGACGACUCCACUGAGGACACGCUACCUCAUCGUUGGAUAGUUCUUGUUUGACCUUCCUUUCUUUUUAUUCCUGCUCACUAUACACACACUUAUCGUUGGGGUUGCUCAACCCCUUCAUCCGAGUCAGGGAUUUUAGAAUCCCCGUACUCGUGGGUCUUCAUUGGGAACAGGUUUUGCGAACCUCAUUCCCGACCUAUCUCCUGAGCAUCGACCCUAUGUCGCGCUCUCAGGCAUCACCUGAAAAAAGGUGAGGAUGGACCUAGAAGUCCCUCACUCCCUACAUCUAUGCAUUGACGGACCCACCUUGCAUUGGUGGCACAUACGGCACCACACUCAGCAUGCAUCCUGCUACCGGAGAGUCACUUGCCGGUCGCAUUACUCGGGGUAGCCCUGAGGCCUCCCCGAGCUCUCUUGCGACUUGCAGUUCAUUUGUCGUUGCUCCUGUUGGUCGUUGCGAGGCUACCCCCCAUUCUCUAUCACUGCGGGCCCCUGUAAUAAGAUGCUCGACACCAGAAAGAGGCGGCUCUGAAGCCACCACCUCACACACACCCACCAAAGCUAGUGGACUACCCAUUCUAGCUACACCUCGAGGCAACUCUCAAGUUACCUCAUGACACUGUCAGGGUUUAGGUCUUCUUGGACUUGGCCCUGCACCUCUUUUGCAUGCACACUGCACCACUCAGGGCAAUCCUCAGGUUACCUCAGAAUACUGUCAGGGUUCGGUUCUUCUUGAACUUGGACCUGCACAUCCUCGGGGUAACCUUCAGGUUACCUCAGGACACCGUCAGGGUUCGACUCUUCUUCGGACUGGCCCUGUACACCCCUUGCAUAUGCACAGCAUCGCUCGGGGCAGCCUUGUUGCUGCGUUUGCCCGAGCACAUGAGAGGGAACCUCCUAGUACCCCCUCCCAGCACAUGCUUGCUCACUCUGUGAGGGAUGCUUACACGGCCAUUCCAUCACACACACAUGCCCACGAUACCAUGCCUCUUAAGGCCAGACACGCUACUUGAGUCCAGGUUGACCACCAAGUCACCCGAAGUCCUUUUGCAGAGGGUGUACACACGCCAAUCCCUCGCCCGCCCGGAGCACAUCUUUGCAUUAUGCACACACACAUGGAUCUAGCAUUCCACCCGAUUCCAAGGGUAAUCACGUCAAUGGGUUGAAAGAACAGUUUACGUUUGCCCAAAGGCAAUACUACCUGGCCAUGAAGUAGGGAUAUCAUGUUCAAGCCUGGAAAUGAGGUCGGGAGACCAAGACAUUGAAAGCCCAGCUCAGGGCCAAAGAAGAAAAAGUGAUUGAAGAAUUCCCUCUAUGAGCCCUUUUCCCCCUCUCAUUCCCCUUGAUGCGGAUGAUGCUAGAAAAGAAUGGCAUGAGAUGAACACUAAAAGGAUUGAUCGGUGCAUGAUGAAGUCGGUUAUCUAUGAAGAUGCAAGCUUGACUCUGGGCAAAGGCGAGCUUCUAGACGGGGCAAAGAGCUAGUCUGACCCCAGUGACCCCAAGCCAGAUGAGCCAUCACCCGAUCAAACUCCCGUGCCCUGCUCAAGUCGGGGCACCGAGAGCAAAGCCUUCUUCAAGCAAACUGAACUCGGGGUAGCUCAUAGAUUCAAAGCAAUUUCUCCUAGACUCCUGAUGAGCCAGAAGGCACCGUUGUGGAGUAGUCCCGGUGACUCAAGUGAGACAGAAGCCGAACCCAUCGAGGGCGUUGCCCAUGAUCCCUUGGUGGUGGAAAGUUCGAAUUAUGAAGGGAUUGGUCUUCUUCUCAUGAUGCAAGAAAUCUGUCCACGAGCUCCUCCCAAAGUUUGCCUCAACAUCCCAGCUCCUCGAGAUGAAACUGAAAAAAGAACCGAAACUAUUGAGCUGCUUCAAAGGGAUGAAAAGCUCAUUGUUAAUAUUGAUCUCAUAAACAAGAAUGGGACUUUGCCGUCGUUCUUCCUCUCUCAUCCAAAUAUUCUUACCUUUGGUGAGAGUUCGUCACUCUCAUUUGAGGAAAGCCACUCCGCUGUACUGGAUGAGAUGAGUUGCACUCCCCCUGGUGGCAGCCCCACUGAAAUGCCUCCUCCAUGCCCUGUAGGCACCAUGAUUCCCCGCAAAGCCAGCUGCAUGCUUCCCCCAUGUCAUGCGUGUUGUAUGUGCGAUCUUGACGAUGAUAGUAAGGUCUCGUCUUAUGAGUGUUUCACAUUCCUGUUAGGUGUUGAAGAGCUCAAUUUUGAUGGAGCGACAUCCCUCGUCCUCAUCCCCCCAGUGACUCCUACCUCUGACGAGAGCUCGUCACUCUCAUUCGAGGAAAAUCAGUCCCUAAUAGAGGAUGAGAUGGCCAGCAUCCCCUUCGCUGACCACCCCAAUGAAAUAGUGCCUCCAACUCCUGAAGAUGCCAUGAUUCUUUGUGAAGCUGACCACAUAUGGGCUCCAUGUCUUGAAAGUGUCGUGACUCCUUAUGAGGGCGAUAACAUGUUUUUUUGAUAUCUUGAAAAAUGCUCCCUCAAUGAUGAUGAUGUGACCUCAUCGUCUUUUGAGAGUUUCACAUUCUCAUUAGAUGAUGAGGAUACCAAAGCCUUGGAAAAUGAAGUAGGCCUGAGGGAAGGCCCAAUGACCCUCACCAAUGAAGCAGCAGCAAUCGAAUCCAAGAUUGUAAGCUCUGAGGCAUGUAAUCGGAAAAUAGAAGAAGAGUCCUCAAGUAUGGCAGCUAUUGAAGCUAUAGUGAUCGACGAAAAAAUACUAUGGAGAUGAGAUUGUGCAACUCAAGGCCACAUUAAGGUGGUUACAAGCGGAGAUGAGGUCAAAAGAUGAAACAAUGGAAACUUUACGCCAAGAGGUAUUGGUGUCUCAUACCCCCUUGUGGCACCAAGCCCUCUUUACUGUCCCUUAAGCACCGUAUCGGGUCAUCGAAACAACACCAUUAGAAGAAAGGGUACACCCACUUUCACCUCCCUAAUUGUCGGUCUCCUCCCCAUCAGCUCAGGUUGGUAAUGUAGAAGUAGUGAAAGGAAUGGUAGCUGAAGCAUUGAAAAAUUAUAAUAUUCCAGUGAUGAAGAGCCGAAUCGCUAUCAAAAGCCUUACCGAACAUAUAUUGACCAAACUCCAUUUCCACUGAGCUAUCAAAGACCUGACUUUCCCAAGUUUGAUGAUACAGGCUCAUCGCAGUAACACAUAGCCCAUUUCAUUGCAGCCUGUGACAAUACAGUGAACAAUGCGCAUCUAUUGCUUCGGCAAUUUGUCGGAACCCUUACCGGAGCAACAUUCAAAUGGUACUCUCGGUUACCACCAGGGUCAAUCUCAUCGUGGGUCAAAAUGGAGGAGGAGUUCCUUAAGCGCUUCUGGGACAUAGAAAGGAAUGUGCAAAUCUUUGAACUCUUUGAGGUGAAACAAAAGCCACAGGAGCCAAUGAUCGAGUACAUCGAAAGGUGGUGCAAUCUAGCCAUCAAUCUAGCCACACCAAUAGGUGAGCCGCAAGAGAUAGAGUACUGCAUAGACGGGAUGCACUCAGAAUUGGCUCGUUAUGUCACUUCAUCAUGGCCCACUACAUUUGCCAAGAUGGUCGACAAGGUAGUUCAAAUUGAAGGUUUGCUCAAGUACCACAGAAGUAUAUCUGGACCCUUUGCAUCAGUCAAAGAUGAUGAUCAAUUAUUAGCUACCAUAACAAAUACCAUGCACUCCUCAAGCCAUGGCCGGCAUGAGGAUUACUCCUUUGACAAGUGUAUGAUUCCCAAGUUGCUUGAGACUCUCCUAUCAGAGGGGAUGAUUGAGCUACCCGUGCCAAAAAGAUCGAGGGAACUUGGAAGGGAAAGUAAGCCCAAUUACUGAAGAUAUCAUAGGAGAUUUGGUCAUAGAACUGAGGAGUGUCGUGCCGCCAAGAACAACAUCUAGAACUUCAUAGACAUGGGAAAAUUGAACUUGGGACUUGAUUCCACGUGUGAUCCAGUGUCACACAUGGUCCCAGCUAUACAACCCUAAACUAUAGCACGCGUUCUAGUGGCACGACGUUAAACUGCACAACAUACGGUCUCGGAGGCAAGACCUUAAACAUGCCCUCAGGUCUUGACGGAUGACCUUAAAACACGCCAAAUUGACGGUCACGGUGGCAUGACCUGGAUGACCUUAAAACACUCCAAAUUGGUGGUCACGGCGGCAUGACCUUAAACACGCUUUCAGAAAAAAAAGAAAAAAGAAGAAGAAGAAGAAGACAGAAAUGACGAAAACCCGCAAGGGCAUCAUGGGCAAAAUGUCAAAAAAAAAGAAAAGAAAAAAAGAAUGAUGGACAUGGUGUGCACCCCCAAAGGCCACCGUGGGUAAAAUAUGUCAAAAAGAAAAAAAGACAAGCAUAGUGAAAACCCGCAAGGGCACUAUGGGCAAGAUUCUCAAUAUAAAAAGGGGUGUGGUGAAAACCCUUCGAGGCACUCAUUCUCAAAUGACGGGCGUGUUGAUCCUCCCCUAUGGGUACUCACGAGUAAAAAUGUCAAACAUCCCUAUAGCAACACGUUAAACUACAUGACAUAUCGUCCAUUCGCACGACUAUAAACUGCUUCCUGUUCCUACAUAUCUCCAUGGGGUUACCACAUGACACCCUCUUACACAUCCUCGACUACAUCCUUCUUCACAAGCCCUCAGUGGAAGGACACCACCCCUUUGAUGUGUCCUCCAUAAUCAAGGUACUGUGAGGCUUUAAAGCAUAGCAAGCGACCGUCAAAGCAUGUGCCCACCUCUAUAAAGCCAUAUAUCAAAGAGGUGUACCGCAGUUUCAGUUGUGAGGCUUUGAAGCAUAGCAUGCACUUCAAAGGAUAUGCCCACCUCUAGAAAGCCAUAUCACAAAGAGGUGUACCACAGUUCUGAUUGUGAGGCUUCGAAGCAUAGCAUGCAACUGUCAAAGCAUGAUCCCGCCUCUAUAAAGCCAUAUAUCAAAGAGGUGUAUCAUAGUUACGACUAUGAGGCUUUGAAGCAUAGCUGUGACGACCAAGACUUUUCCUGGCUAGUUAAAAGGCAUGACGAGAUAGGGAGGCUGAAGAAGAGCCAGUGCCAGGUGAGUUGGAGAAGUGGCCAAUGUCGGUUGGAAGAGCCAACGCCGGGUGAGUUGGAGAAGAGGCCAGUGCCAAUUGGAAGAGCCAGCGUCGGUGGAUUUGGAGAAGAGGUUAGCGCCGAUUGGAAGAGCCAGUGCCGUGUGGAUUUGUGUGAAGUGCCAACACCGAAUGUGUCUUUGUCAUGCAUGAGUUGUGUAGGCCACUUGUCAAAUGCAUGCUGAUUGAGUGCCACAUGUCCAGAUUUUACAGUCUUUUGGUGACACUUGGACAGCCACCUCAACCCAAGAGUACUUAAGCCCCCUUCGUUAAGGAUUUUGACUAGCCACAGAUUUUGACUAGCCAAAAGGGGUCCAUUUUCUUCCAAACCACUGCCAUUUGAACGGUUCAUGAGUAAGCUUAGAUUCACAUGUUGAACACUUUUUGGAAUUUCUUCUUGAUUGUGAGUUAUGAAGUAAAUUUUAAAGACAUGUCCUUGCCUUCACUGCAGAGCAGAUAUCUGAUAAAAUAUCUUCAUUCUUUUGAGCUUUUGAGGAGCCAAACAUAGUCCAAUUGUUUUCAACCUACCCCACUUUGAAAGAUAGGAGGAAAAUUUGUUUUAGAACCAUCUUCAAACUCUAAAUGGUUCAAUGAUUACGGCCCUAAUGGUAAGUACACGUCAUUGCCUUGAUGGCAGGAAAUUGAGCGGUAAGGCUUAACUGAAAUAAUGUCAUUGUUACUAUAGUACUGUCAAUAUGAUACUGUUAAAAUGUGAUGUGCCACACCCAAAAUGUGAUAUUGCUAUUAUCAUGAUAAGAUACUGAUAUAGUAAUUAUGUGAUAUGCUAUAUGUGAAUGGAUACCUACUGUGUGAAUGAUGGUAUCAUGCUGCUUAUGUGUUAUGUGAAUGGAUACCUACUGUGUGAAUGAUGGUAUCAUGCUGCUUAUGUGUUAUGUGAAUAGGUACCUAUUGUGUCAAUGAUGGUACCAUGCUGCUUAUGUGAUAUGUGAAUAGAUACCUACUGUGUGAAUGAUGGUAUCAUGCUGCUUAUUUGUUAUAUGAAUGGGUACCUACUGUGUGUAUGAUGGUACCAUGCUGCUUAUAUGUUAUAUGUAUGGGUAUCUACUGUGUGAAUGAUGGUACCGUGCUGCUUAUGAGUUAUGUGUAUGGGUACAUACUGUGUGACUGAUGGUACCAGCAAACUGAGAUAUUGGCGCGCUUUGAGUGUAUUGCCCGACCAGCAGUGACAUGAUGAAAUUUCCAGUGAUAUGGGAAUUUCUCGGCAUGGCUUGUGUGUAUCGCAUUGCUUGGGACAUGUAACUUCUCAUGAGGUACACAUGAGGUGAUUAGCUACGUGUGGCUUCUCGGCAUACUUUGAGGGUAUUGCAUUGCCUGAGAUAUGUGACUGUUUGAUAUUGGUGAGGUGCCUACUUUGAGGGUAUUGCAGGGCCUGCCUGUGUGUUUGACCCCAAUAAGGUACAUGCCCUGGAGUGUAAUGCACUACCUGACUUUGUGAGUGCUAAGGGAUGAAAAUAUGCUUUAUUAUGAAAUAAGAGUAUGCUUUAUUGUGAUAAGUAUGUAUACUGUAGAACAUGUUCAAUUUUAGAUGAAUGAGUAAUAUUGAGGAAUGCAUAUGAUGAUACUCUUGAGGAAAGGUCUUUCUGAACUACUAAUUCAGGUGAUAUCCAGUAUCUGUAUUGGGAAUAUGAAUGAUAAUUACAACAUUGAACAAAUGUGAAUUCUGAUAUCUUAUAUUGUGUCUGCUCUACCUGAAAAGCAUCAUCCUAUAAUUGUGACAAAAUUGUGAUGCAUGACUCCUGUUUUACGAGCAUGGCUUAGAAUCUUGAUCUGUGCUGUGUGAUAAUACUCAUAGGUAGGGAAGCAUAAUGUUGUGAUCUACUUACUGGGCUUUUUAGCUCAUCCAUUUUCUUCCCCUUGUAGAUUGACUCCUACAGGUCGACAGCGGCGGGAGGUGAUCAUGUUUGGUGGACAGAAAGCCUGCGCUCAAUGAGUGGAUCCCUAUUCUUGUGUAGGUGGCAUGUCAAAACAGAGUAGAAAUGCAAUCGGACACAAAUAGAAUUCUAGCAUCUCAUACAACAAUCAAAGUAGCUUACCUGGGUUCUCUGGGGUAGAACCUGCCACCUCCUAAAAGCUGUGAGGAGAGAAGUGGAAAAGACACUAUUGUUGUUUAGGUAAGUGGAUCCAUCACCAUCGCAUGAUAGUCAUAAGGAUGCAUGGAAUUUAUGCAUGUAAAAUGAGAAUGAAAGUUUAUGUGAUGUAAGAAAAUCCUUACACCUUUUUAUUUAAAAAUUGGGGUUCUUGUCCUAUGAUAAUGGUAAAUGUCCAGAAUGAAUGCAUGAUUCUUAGAUUAUGUAAGAAAUGCAUGCUAUGCCUGAUUCGUGUGUGUUCAUAUUGUGAGAGAAUGGUUGUUAUUAUGUGCCCCACCAUGAAAUAAAGAUCAUGGAAUGUAUGCUUGAGACAUGUUGUAUGCUACUGUGAAAUUCCAAAAGUUUACAUGUUCUUGUAAGAGGCUUUUGAACAAUCAAAUAGGGUCCAAUUGACCUUAAACCACCCCCAUUGGAAAGAUAUACGAGUCUAGUAAAAUUUUUGUUUUUACUGAAAUUAUUUACAAAAAUGAAGUUAUGUUUCAAAAUAUGAAGGUUUAUCAUUAUUGACUGUUUUCCUGGAUUUUUCAUUUAUACCACUGUGGUCACUGAUUUUAGCUAGCAAAACGAAGUUCAUUUUUGGCCAAACCAUAGCCAUUUGAAAUAUCUUUGAAUGGGAUAAAAAUUUCAUGUGGAAACUAUUUUGAAAAGCAUCCUAGAUUGAAAGUUAUACCUUUCUUUAUGAAGGUAUGCCACUGUGGCAGUAUUGAUGAAAAUCAAAACUAUCACCUUGUUUUCCAUGGAUUUUUGAACCAUCAAAUGGAAUCCAAAUGCAUUUAAAUUUGGUUUGUUAGAAAGAUAUACAUCUUAGCUUAAAACUUUAUUUUGUACCCAUCACAAGUUGCCUUACGAUUUGAAUGUUAUAAUGAUUUGAAGUAGGGUACAUUGAUGUCCACUGUACGCAGCAGGGGGCAGUUAGUUAACCCUCAUUACCUGGAACCUUUAAGAAGUCAAACGGAAUCAUGUUGUCUUUAAACCACUCCUAAGUGAUAGAUAGGUGUGUUUGGUAUGAAAUUGAUCGUGGAACCAUCUUCAUACUCUAAAUGGUCCAAACGUUAAGACCCCGAUUGUGAGCUCUCGCAUUCAUGCAUGAUAAUGAAGUUACGCUUUGCUAUGACAAGGAAGAAUGAUUAUGAUAUAUGCCUUUGUUGCGAUAUGAAUUUCAUUGAUUUUAAUGAUGCUUAUGCUAUGUGUGAAUGGAUACCUACUUUGUGCAUGAUGGUAUCAUGAUGCUUAUGCUCUAUGUGAAUGGAUACGUACUGUGUGAAUGAUGGUAUCAUGAUGCUUAUGCUAUAUGUGAAUGGAUACCUACUGUGUGAAUGAUGGUAUCAUGAUUCUUAUGCUACAUGUGAAUAGAUACCUACUGUGUGAAUGAUGGUAUCAUGAUGGUUAUGCUAUAUGUGAAAGGACACCUACUGUGUGAAUGAUGGUGCUAACAGCGGCGAUCUUCCCUGACUCCCCAUGAUAGGAUGAGACUCAGGAUGUGAGUAGUUGGGAGGUUCGCACGCCCCAAAUCUAUGUGGGCACUACACAUUGGGUCAUCUAAUGGUAGUGUAACUCCCUCUCGCUAAAAGGGUGCAAGGAGAGGGUAGGGUCUUGCAAGGCCUCUGCCUAUUAAAAACCCCAAAGUACGUUGUGGAUGUGUACAUGGGUGAGGGCCUUACGAAUUGGGUCGUCCACUUCUCAUGGUCCACCCUCUUGAGUGAGGGUAGAAGUCCCAAGUUAGGAUUGGCUUGGCCUGACCGAUGUGGCUUGUACUUCAAGAGUAGAUAGAUUUGUUUACCUGACUUAUUUAUGCUUUCUGCAUGAGUCUUAACUGUAAUUGUGAUAUGUUGUCAUUAUUAGUCUACUUUAAGAAAGGUGAUUGUGACUUACGCAUUAUAUAUAUUGAACUGCCUUUCUCACAUUCCUGUUGGAGUGAUGUGGAGCAUGUUGAGGGACUUUAUUUGAUACAUGUGUACAUAUACGUAUAUGUGGGUUGUGCAUUUGUUAUCAUUAUCAUGCUAGUUGGAAUGCAAUGGUGUAGAUAUGCUUACUGGGCUGUUAGCUCAUUCCAUCUUAUUUUCAUAACUAUAGAGUGAAGUGUGUUGAUACCUGUGCUUAAGGUGCUUGACCUUUGGGGGAUUUGAAGCUUGAAGUCGAGAGGUUAAAAAUCCGUCCUUUGAGGACUUUCAUUGUAUGUUUUGGAUGUCUCAGUAGUGUGUGGUGUACCUCAUUUUGUGUAUUUUGGGCCAGGAGUCCCUUGAAGGAAUUGUAAAGACCUUUUUUAACAUCGGAUGAAUGAGAUGGUUAUACUUUUGGAA
rnacentral:lncRNA from 1 species